CACAACAGCUGUCUAUACAAACCUUGCAAGGUAAUUUUUACAAGGUGUUUUUCCACAACGCCUUUUUGGUUCCCCAUGUGCAUUUUAGGUUUCAAAACAAUGAAAGUCCUCGUUGAUCAAGUGGGAGAGAUUGAAAUUGAAAGCAAUGAAACCGUCGAGUGUUUCAAGGCAAAAGUUGAGACUGAACAUGGCUUUCCUGUUCCAAUGCAGAGAUUGUAUAAGGAUCAAACACUGCUUCAAGAUGGGUAUGCUUUGAGCGAUUAUGACGUUUCUUCUGGAGACAUCUUGGUCAUGAAAUUGGAAACGCUUAAAGGGGUGAAAGUAGCCUUAGUCGGAAUCUCUCCAUCUCCAGCUGCUUAGGGAGGGGAAGAAUCGGACCAAGGAUCAAAUGUCUGUGGGCGUGGUAGAGAGCCAGAACCAGCAAGCCUUCCUCCUCCUGAUGACCCAGAUAAGAAGAAAAAGAAGUAUUCCCCAUCUUACCUUGAGAAGAUGGGAAUUUGGAAGAAGAAAUAGAGCCAGCACCGAGUUUUCAUUAAAAUUAUGCAUCUUUUCAUACUUGUUCUGAAAUGAUCCAGAUUUGCUGAGACUUCACCUGAUCAACUUUGUGGCGCUUUAUGUAUUUUUAUUAUCCUAAUAAACAAACGCCCAAAUCA